GAAGACCUGUCCUUAGUACGAGAGGACCGGGAUGGACGUACCUCUGGUGUACCAGUUGUCCUGCCAAGGGCAUGGCUGGGUAGCUAUGUACGGAAUGGAUAAGCGCUGAAAGCAUCUAAGCGCGAAGCCAACUUCAAGAUAAGAUUUCCCACCGCAAGGGUAAGACCCCAGAAAGACUAUCUGGUUGAUAGGUCGAAGGUGUAAGUGUAGCAAUGUAUUUAGCUUAUCGAUACUAAUAGGUCGAGGACUUGACCAAU
rnacentral:rRNA from 1 species